rnacentral:rRNA from 1 species
CAUGUCUUUUUGAUUAUAAUUUAAAGUCUAACCUGCCCAAUGAGGAGUUAAAUGGCCGCGGUAUUUUGACCGUGCAAAGGUAGCAUAAUCAUUAGUUUUUUAAUUGAAAGCUGGUAUGAAUGGUUGGACGAGAAAAUAACUGUCUCAAUUUAAUUUAAAUUAGAAUUUUAUUUAUGAGUAAAAAAGCUCAUAUAGGCUUAAAAGACGAGAAGACCCUAUAGAAUUUAAUAUAGAAAUAUAUAUUUUGUUUUUAGAAUUAAUUAUAAUUAUAUAUAUUUGUUAUAUUUUGUUGGGGUGAUAGAAAAAUUUAAAUAACUUUUUUUUUAUAAAAACAUUAAUGUAUGAAAAAAUGAUCCGUUGAUAACGAUUAUAAGAUUAAAUUACCUUAGGGAUAACAGCGUAAUUUUUUUUUAGAGUUCUUAUCGAAAAAAGAGUUUGCGACCUCGAUGUUGGAUUAAAAUUAACUUUUGGUGUAGGGGCUAAAAGGUUAGGUCUGUUCGACCUUUAAAAUUUUAC